CUUUAUUGGGAACCUAGAUAUAUACUGUAUACUGUGUCAAGGUUUAGAUGACAUACUAUACAGUAUAUAUCUAGGUUUCUAAUACAAG
ensembl:miRNA gga-mir-1812 gga-mir-1812